CUAUUUCCUAUGUGUGGUAUGAACUUGGCAUUCAACCGUGAAUUGAUUGGACUAGCAAUGUAAUUUGGACUCAUGGGUAUUGGUGAGCCAAUUGGAAGAUAUGGUGAUAUGUGGGCUAGCUGGUGCAUGAAGGUUGAGGGCAACAAAGUUGGUGACCGGUGAUGGCUGGCUGGAAGUUUGUGGCAGCGGCUGGUGGGCAGUAGCUGGCCGGAAACUGGCAACGGUGGCUGACCGGAAACUGGCGGCGGCUGGUGGCGGCGACUGGCAAGAAUAUGGAUGCUGUGGCUGGCCGGCAGGUGCUGGCCCGGCGAUGGGCGGUUGGCCGGAAGGUGGAUUGCUGGAGGUUUUGUGUAACUGGAACAUGGUUUUGGUAAAAUUAGAGGGAGUGGCAUUUUGUGUAAUUUUGAUGUUUUUUAAUUACAUUAUUGUAAAAUUAGGUACUACUUUUUGGUCUUUGGCCUUAUGCUAAUUAGGUGAAAUUGUAUUCCUA